rnacentral:rRNA from 1 species
UACGUAGGGGGCAAGCGUUGUCCGGAUUUAUUGGGCGUAAAGCGCUCGCAGGUGGUUCGAUGCGUCGUGCGUGAAAGACCCCGGCUCAACUGGGGAGGGUCACGCGAUACUGAUCGACUCGAAGGCAGGAGAGGGUAGUGGAAUUCCCGGUGUAGUGGUGAAAUGCGUAGAUAUCGGGAGGAACACCAGUGGCGAAGGCGACUUCCUGGCCUGUUCUUGACGCUGAGGCGCGAAAGCUAGGGGAGCAAACGGG